CCUACGGGUGGCAGCAGUGAGGAAUAUUGGUCAAUGGACGAGAGUCUGAACCAGCCAAGUAGCGUGAAGGAUGACUGCCCUAUGGGUUGUAAACUUCUUUUAUAUGGGAAUAAAAUGUUCCACGUGUGGGGUUUUGUAUGUACCAUAUGAAUAAGGAUCGGCUAACUCCGUGCCAGCAGCCGCGGUAAUACGGAGGAUCCGAGCGUUAUCCGGAUUUAUUGGGUUUAAAGGGUGCGUAGGGGGACUGUUAAGUCAGUUGUGAAAGUUUGCGGUUCAACCGUAAAAUUGCAGUUGAGUCUGGCAGUCUUGAGUACAGUAGAGGUGGGCGGAAUUCGUGGUGUAGCGGUGAAAUGCUUAGAGAUCACGAAGAACUCCGAUUGCGAAGGCAGUUCACUGGACUGCAACUGACACUGAGGCUCGAAAGUGUGGGUAUCAAACAGGAUUAGAUACCCGUGUAGUC
rnacentral:rRNA from 1 species